rnacentral:rRNA from 1 species
AAUAGAUACCCGGGUAGUCCACGCCGUAAACGGUGGGCGCUAGGUGUGGGGGACUUUCCACGUCCUCUGUGCCGCAGCUAACGCAUUAAGCGCCCCGCCUGGGGAGUACGGCCGCAAGGCUAAAACUCAAAGGAAUUGACGGGGGCCCGCACAAGCGGCGGAGCAUGUGGCUUAAUUCGACGCAACGCGAAGAACCUUACCAAGGCUUGACAUGCAGGGAAAUCUCGUAGAGAUACGGGGUCCGCAAGGGCUCUGCACAGGUGGUGCAUGGUUGUCGUCAGCUCGUGCCGUGAGAUGUUGGGCUAAGUCCCGCAACGAGCGCAACCCUUGUCCUAUGUUGCCAGCGAGUAAUGUCGGGGACUCAUAGGAGACUGCCGGGGUCAACUCGGAGGAAGGUGGGGAUGACGUCAAAUCAUCAUGCCCCUUAUGUCUUGGGCUGCACACAUGCUACAAUGGUCGGUACAAAGGGCUGCGAGACCGCAAGGUGGAGCGAAUCCCAAAAAACGCCGGCCUCAGUUCGGAUUGGGGUCUG